GUGUUGUUUGGAAGGAGAGCAAGUUAGCACUCCCCUAGACAAGGAUGGAACACACAAAUGAGCGGCUAGGCACAAGACAAUGCCGUUCUCAAGUUUUUUU